rnacentral:rRNA from 1 species
UACGAAGGGGGCUAGCGUUGUUCGGAAUUACUGGGCGUAAAGGGCGCGUAGGCGGCGUGUCAAGUCAGGCGUGAAAGCCCCGGGCUCAACCUGGGAACCGCGCUUGAGACUGGCAUGCUCGAGUUCGGGAGAGGAUGGUGGAAUUCCCAGUGUAGAGGUGAAAUUCGUAGAUAUUGGGAAGAACACCGAUGGCGAGGGCAGCCAUCUGGACCGACACUGACGCUGAGGCGCGAAAGCGUGGGGAGCAAACAGG